UGACCUCUCACAGCUCCUUGAAGGCUGAGGCCACAUGGGAUUCAUUUUGUUCUGCUUCAACCUACCUAGGCCUCCUCUGGCAGAGCAGGGGCACAGUGAGAAUAUGUGGGUGAAAUGAGGCCUUUGGGUCUCACCGUCCUGCAGCACUGCUCACCGAAGGCCAAAGGGCUGGUGGCUGCAACAUAGUCUUGAGAUGCAUCUCUGCCUUUCCACAGGUGAGUCUCCCAGAGGACUGGGAGACACAUCCAGAAAAGGCCUGAAAGCCAAAUAAGUCAUGUUGAGGUCAUCAGGGGAGUGGAGGAUGCAAACCAUUUAUGAUCCGCAAGGUCCAGCCCAGCUCAUGCUCUGGUUCAUUCUCAGCCUCUUCCACUACAAACAUGAGAAAAUCCAGAAAGGAGGCUUUCAUCCAACCUCCCUGUGCUCCAAACAAGAACACUCUUCAUACCUGCCUGGCAAAGAGCUUGUGACCUACUCCCUCUCCGACUCAGGCGUCCUUGAUGGUGCUGGGAAUCAGGAAGUCACAUUUUUGAGUAUGAGAUUAUUUGAAGGAACAAGGAAACUUCUCAGCCUUUCUGGAGCCCUGUGCCAGGUCCAACGCUUCCCAAACCCCUACAUGUGGCUGAUGAAGAAAGUGACACUGGAAAACCCUCACUCGAUGUUUGUGACUCCCUUCUUCAUAACUGCAACAACCCAGAAACGCCCAAGAUGUCUGUAGCAGGUGAAUGGACGCACUGUCACCCGCCCCCUAAAUAAAAACUGCUAUUCAACAUGGAGAAAAAAUGAGCUAGGAAGCCCUGAGAAGACACGAAGGGGUUUAGGAACGGCGGUCACAUAUCCCUAACUUGAUGGCUCUGUGGAAAAGGCAAAACUGUGGAGACAGUGAAGAGAUGGAAAGAGCAGAGGAUUUUAGGGCAGGGAAGUCCCCAUGUGACACUAGGGUGAGGGUCUAGGUCAUUAGACAGCUGUCCAAGCCCACGAAACACAGGACACCAAGACUGAGCCCAUGGGCCAUCCGCGACACAUAGCAGGCUCUGUGUCUCAGUCUCUAGUGACCAUACUAGAGACUUGGGGACCAAGGGAAGACUUGGGGCCCUCACAGUGCCCACCUGACAGGCACGAGGGACCUGCCCAGGCCUGCAGGUGGAGCAGAGCUGGCAGCCCGCCUGCUUCUACUGAUGUAGAAGGGACAUGUGGCACUUAGCCACACAAAGGAAGCACAGCUCCAUCACCAGGUCCAUCCAGAAGUGACAGGUAGGAGGCUGAGGUCCAGAUGGAGAUGUCAUGCGGCAGGGCAGAUGCUUAACCAGGGCAAUGUUGUCAUGGGGUAGGGGUGUGUAACCAUGGGCUAUGUAACCAGGAUAAUUUCAUCCAUCACCUGUUACAGGUAAGACAGGAACCAUUUCCUUGUCCUUCUAGAGGAAAUUCUGCUCAGAAACUGGGGGUGGCUAGGCAGACAGUUUUAUUAAGUGUUCGUGAUGAACAUAAUACAUGUCCCAAAUAACUGUAGCUGAAGUCAUCGACAAGCACAAUGGUCAUUGUACCCAAAGAAUCUGGGCCAUAUUUUAUCUCUAGGUAAGAACUAUUUUUAAGGUACUUCAUAAAUCAGGGGCUGGGCCGGCGCACUAAACAUUCCACAUCCCCCAGGGGAAAUCCCCUAGGGCGGCAGGCAGGGCACAGCGGCUCAUUGUCUUGCAGCUUCCUGCACGGGGCUGGCCAGUCAGCGAGACUGAAGGCCUGUGAGCCUGCCAAGAGAUCCUGCGGGGUACAGUCCUGCGCAUCUGUUACACAAGAGCUCCUCUCAUCCAGGUCCUCACCAUCGGGUCAGCAUCAAUGACAAGUGUCAUCUCUUAUCCAGGCCACCCUCCCUCCUGUGCCCAGGUGUGCGGCCCAAGCACACCACCUCACGAGUGCUCGCUUACAUAGUUCAUAGAUAAACAAAUGCACACAUGAAUGAGGCAGCAUCAGAAACCCAUACUGUGCAGCCUCCCUUUAGACAGCGGACGGCCACAGAGAUGGAAUGGAAGUUGCGAGUGGAACGUCCGGUGAAGCAGUUAGGACAGAGACUACCAAGUGCCAGAAGCCUUCCUUACUCUUCUGUCCCUUGUCUUCCUUGGUGUGAAAAUAUAGACAUGAUGUCUGGAGCUCCUGCAGCC
rnacentral:lncRNA from 1 species